UACGUAGGGUCCGAGCGUUGUCCGGAAUUACUGGGCGUAAAGCGCGCGCAGGCGGCCCGCGAGGUGUCACGUGAAAGCCCCGGGCUCAACCCGGGAGGGUCGUGGCAAACCGGCGGGCUUGAGGCCGGUAGAGGUGGGUGGAACUCCUGGUGGAGUGGUGAAAUGCGUAGAGAUCAGGAAGAACACCCGUGGCGAAGGCGGCCCACUGGGCCGGGUCCGACACUGAGGCGCGAAAGCGUGGGGAGCAAACAGG
rnacentral:rRNA from 1 species